rnacentral:rRNA from 1 species
AACGAACGCUGGCGGCAGGCUUAACACAUGCAAGUCGAGCGCCCCGCAAGGGGAGCGGCAGACGGGUGAGUAACGCGUGGGAAUCUACCCAUCUCUACGGAAUAACGCAUGGAAACGUGUGCUAAUACCGUAUGCGUCCUUCGGGAGAAAGAUUUAUCGGAGAUGGAUGAGCCCGCGUUGGAUUAGCUAGUUGGUGGGGUAAAGGACUACCAAGGCGACGAUCCAUAGCUGGUCUGAGAGGAUGAUCAGCCACACUGGGACUGAGACACGGCCCCGACUCCUACGGGAGGCAGCAGUGGGGAAUAUUGGACAAUGGGCGCAAGCCUUAUCCAGCCAUGCCGCGUGAGUGAUGAAGGCCCUAGGGUUGUAAAGCUCUUUUACCCGGGAUGAUAAUGACAGUACCGGGAGAAUAAGCUCCGGCUAACUCCGUGCCAGCCGCCGCGGUAAGAC